rnacentral:misc_RNA from 1 species
CUGCAGCCUCUAAUCAAGCCAUUUGGCUUCGUAGAUUGCUUGCUGAUUUUGGAAAAGAUCAAUCUGAAGCUACUUUUCUUUGGUGUGAUAACAAAUCAGCUAUUGCUAUUGCAAAUAACCCAGUGCAGCAUGGCAGAACCAAGCACAUUUUAGUCAAGUUUCAUGCAAUUAGAGAGGCUGAAAGGAAUCAUGAAGUGAAGCUUGUGCAUUGUAAGUCUGAG